rnacentral:lncRNA from 1 species
UAUCUCAGACUUACCAAUUUUAACCCGCUAUUGGCCUCUGAAAUCUCCUUCUGCCCCUAUCUUGUUUACCUAUUACUACCAUAUUGCUUUCUUUUAGCAGUACAUAAAAAAUAUGACAACCAUCUGUCACAUGCAACUAAACAUCCAGUUCAGCAUAUCCACUGCACUACCAAGUGCUCUGUACACAAGUUCAUACAUGUAGAUCAUUUACUUUUGGGAGCAUGCAGCAGCACAGCAAGUGCACUGGAGAAGAAGCUACAGGUUGGGGUUAUUAUUUGCCUGGGGGAGGUUGCUGACAAAGCACUUGGCAGCAGGUACAAAACAUCCAUGGUACAAUAUCUGCUGCUGAAAACAAAGAAACUGCCUGGAAAAAUCAUUAUCUGAUUGACCAAGAUCUCAUUGUACAACAGCCCAGCUGUAAAAUUCCCAAAGUCAUCCCUCCUACUCAGUAGUGUAAAGCUUAAUGGAAAACUUCAGUGCUGAAAGUCACCUGCUAGCCUUAAAGACAGGUUUGGUUUGUGUGUGCUAUUUAUAAAUUUUAGAGUAGGCAUCACUCACAUCUCCCCUCUUUCUUUUGCUACUUCUUCAUGGAACAACCAGUGGCUUAGAGCCUCAGUAACUUGUGUCAAGUAGCC